rnacentral:rRNA from 1 species
UACGGGGGGGGCAAGCGUUGUUCGGAAUUACUGGGCGUAAAGGGCUCGUAGGCGGCCAACUAAGUCAGACGUGAAAUCCCUCGGCUUAACCGGGGAACUGCGUCUGAUACUGGAUGGCUUGAGUCCGGGAGAGGGAUGCGGAAUUCCAGGUGUAGCGGUGAAAUGCGUAGAUAUCUGGAGGAACACCGGUGGCGAAGGCGGCAUCCUGGACCGGCACUGACGCUGAUGAGCGAAAGCCAGGGGGAGCAAACGGG